AUUGAACGCUGGCGGCAGGCCUAACACAUGCAAGUCGAGCGGAGCGGCGGACGGGUGAGUAAUGCCUAGGAAUCUGCCUGGUAGUGGGGGAUAACGUCCGGAAACGGGCGCUAAUACCGCAUACUAUCAGAUGAGCCUAGGUGGGAUUAGCUAGUUGGUGGGGUAAGGGCCUACCAAGGCGACGAUCCGUAACUGGUCCGAGAGGAGGAUCAGUCACACGGGAACUGAGACACGGUCCAGACGCCUACGGGAGGCAGCAGUGGGGAAUAUUGGACAAUGGGCGAAAGCAUGAUCCAGCCAUGCCGAGUGUGUGAAGAAAGUCUUCGGAUUGUAAAGCACUUUAAGUUGGGAGGCGGUACCAGCAGAAUAAGCACCGGCUAACUUCGUGCCAGCCGCCGCGGUAAUUC
rnacentral:rRNA from 1 species